UACGUAGGGGCCUAGCGUUGUCCGGAUUUAUUGGGCGUAAAGAGCUCGUAGGCGGUUCGGUAAGUCAGGUGUGAAAUCUCCACGCUCAACGUGGAGGCGCCACCUGAAACUGCCGUGACUCGAGUCCGGUAGGGGAGUGUGGAAUUCCCGGUGUAGCGGUGAAAUGCGCAGAUAUCGGGAAGAACACCCGUGGCGAAGGCGGCUCUCUGGAACGCAACUGACGCUGAGACGCGAAAGCGUGGGGAGCAAACAGG
rnacentral:rRNA from 1 species